rnacentral:rRNA from 1 species
AUUGAACGCUGGCGGCAGGCCUAACACAUGCAAGUCGAGCGAGCGGCGGACGGGUGAGUAAUGUCUGGGAAACUGCCUGAUGGAGGGGGCUAACUACUGGAAACGGUAGCUCAUACCGCAUACCAUCAGAUGUGCCCAGAUGGGAUUAGCUGGUAGGUGGGGUAACGGCUUACCUAGGCGACGAUCCCUCGCUGGUCUGAGAGGAUGACCAGCCACACUGGAACUGAGACACGGUCCAGACUCCUACGGGAGGCAGCAGUGGGGAAUAUUGCACAAGGGGCGCAAGCCUGAUGCAGCCAUGCCGCGUGUGUGAAGAAGGCCUUCGGGUUGUAAAGCACGUUCAGCGGGGAGGCGUUACCCGCAGAAGAAGCACCGGCUAACUCCGUGCCAGCCGCCGCGGUAAUUC